rnacentral:misc_RNA from 1 species
UGGGACAAAAUGGAUCCCAUUAUUAAUGGAAAUUCUGCUAAUGUUUAUCUAACCGAUAGUUAUUUAAAA